rnacentral:rRNA from 1 species
AGUGAACGCUGGCGGCAGGCCUAACACAUGCAAGUCGAGCGGAUGAAGAGAGCUUGCUCCUGGAUUCAGCUGCGGACGGGUGAGUAAUGCCUAGGAAUCUGCCUGUUAGUGUUGGAUAACGUCCUGAAACGGGCGCUAAUACCGCAUACGUCCUGAGGGCGAAAGUGUGGGAGCUUCGGACCUCACGCUAUCAGAUGAGCCUAGGUCGGAUUAGCUAGUUGGUGGGUUAAAGGCCUACCAAGGCGACGAUCCGUAACUGGUCUGAGAGGAUGAUCAGUCACACUGGAACUGAGACACGGUCCAGACUCCUACGGGAGGCAGCAGUGGGGAAUAUUGGACAAUGGGCGAAAGCCUGAUCCAGCCAUGCCGCGUGUGUGAAGAAGGUCUUCGGAUUGUAAAGCACUUUAAGUUGGGAGGAAGGGCAGUAAGUUAAUACCUUGCUGUUUUGACGUUACCAAAAGAAUAAGCACCGGCUAACUUCGUG